UAAAAAGCAACAUUUAGAUUCUUCUCAAGUUUUCACUAUUAGAAAUGAGUGCAAAGAACAUUCCACUCAGUAUUUCUGGUUGUUUUAUUAGAACAAACACCUACAACUGACACUGUGCCACCUCUCAGAGCUGGACUCCAGGGCCACGACUGGGACACCUUCCUUUUCCAUCGCUUCUCUCACCAGGCAGUGGGCACCGGUGGCAUUCAAAUCUGAAGUGAUCUGCAAGCUGACGGAAAGGACUUCGUUCAAACGUCAGAUUACUAUCAUUUCACACCAUGCCUUUCCACCUCCUAUCAAGACAUCACACAGAUGCAGUGGCAAGCUAGGAAUUUGAUGGCCGCACUGCUGAAGAGAGAAAUCCUGUCCUGCCUCUUCAAACACUGCCCUGGCCCUCGUUCCCCUGUGCAGUGGUUAGCCCUCUGCCCGUCUUUAUUUCCACUCUGUGGUGGGUCUUGAAAGAGGGGCAACAUCUUGGAUUGCAGUGGGUCAGUGUCAAUCUGGACUUUCUAACAGGACGGAACGACAUGCAUGAGAUGACUCUCCCUGUGUUCACAUUAGUUUGUUGGCAGCCACAUCACUCUGUUGACAGGUGCCGUGGUCUCAAUAAAAACAUCCAGGUCCAAUGCAUGUGUGCUGCUGGGGACAGACCUGGAGCUAUA